rnacentral:lncRNA from 1 species
CUUUCUGUGACCCGACAGUCUGGCCGGCUCCUGCCCCCUCUGGCCUGGGUGGGCCUGAGGUUUUCCAGAAAGACCAGGGCUCUGGGUUCUGGGAAAGUACUCAGGAACGAGUAGCCUUUCUCAUGUGUCAGAUCCCUUGGAGCCAGCACUAAUUGGGCCCCAGCUGUAUACUGGGGUUCCUAGGCCACCCCAGGCCUGGCGCCUGCUGGGGUCCUCAGGUCUCAGCAGGUCUCAGCACGGGCCGUUCUCCCAGCUGCGGUUCUUAGUGACAGGACCCAGAGCAGAGUCAGAGGUGGGAACCGCAUGUGGGGGCACUUGGGGACCAGGCAGGGCCUCCAGAGUCUCCUCCCAGGGAGUCCCACAGGGUGCACUUGGUCCCCACAACACACCUGUGGAAAGUCGCUGAGAGCUCACAGAGACCCAGCGCCUGGGGUCAGUGGGGGACACGCGGCCCCUCUGCCUGGCGUGUGCUGAGAUCCCAGAUCCAGAGGCGCCCAGGGGCUGAGCGGAAGCCACACUGUUGGCCCCACGGCUCAGGCCCAGGAGCCCCUCCUGUCACGGGGGGUGGAGUCCCCAGGGCCCGGUCCCCAGACGCUCAGGCCAGCCUCGGAGCUCGGCCUCAGGCUGCUCAGAGACCUGCUUGUCCCCACCUGCUCCUGGGGACCGAGGCUUGCUUCCCUGGACUGUGGACUUUGGUGGUAACUUGGGGAAGGGCAGGUGGACAGCACAUUUGCAAACAAGGAAGGCCGUGCAGCUGUCCACCCUGGCCGGGAGUCCUCUUCUCAGACGUGGAGACUUUGUUAGCGACACCUGGGGGAGGGGGACAACGCCCCUCGGGCAGGUGGCCCCUGGGGUUUAUCCUGCCCACAGGCCGAAGCCUCCCACUGGUCCCGCAGAAGGGCCCUGAAGGCAGGACUGGUGGGCCUCUGGCGUCCCCUGAGGGCAUGCCCCUCCGUGCCAACCCUGCGCCCACCUCCAGCACCUCCCACAAAGUGGUGCCAACUCACGCUGUGUUUCUCUUGCAGGAAGCGAGGGCUGGGUGACGGACGCGGUGGAGGGCGCUCCCGCACAGGUACGUGCUGCCACCUGCCCUUGGCUCUCGUGUUCCGUCGCUGCUCUUGAAGUCAGGCCGAGAGGGGAGUUGGGCGGCUGUCCAGGAGGCGUCCGCUGUGACCUGCCCUGUGUCCGGGGGCUUCUUACCACAAAGACUGUGCAUGAACAGUGGGGAACAGGGACUGUGCGGGGUUCCUCACAACGUGUCCUGCUGUGUGUGAAGCCAUGGCACUGGUGGGGCUGGUCCUCAAGAGCUCUGGACAGCGUCAGGACAGGGAGCACACGGCUGUGCCACCUGCCUUUUGGUCAUCUGAACUCCACCCCAGCAAGUUUUAAGAGGGAGCUUUUGUCCUGAGUGACCCAACAGUAGUCAUGGCCAAGGCCAGAGCUGUCUUUGAAUGGAAAGUGUAUUAGAAACUAGUCUCAGUCUGUUUUCUGUUGCUAUGACAAAGCACCCAAGGCUGGUUACUUUAAAUAUAAGAAAGGUUCAUUCCGGCUCAUAGUUUUGGAGGCAGGAUCCGGUGACUGUACCUUGUAUUGUAUCCCAGCAGGACAGGUGAUGUCAUGUAGUGGGAGCUCAGGGGAGAUGGGGAGUGUUGUGUGCAGAGGUGACGUGGCCAGAGCUGAUGCAAGAGACCUGGGUAGGGCCGGGUCACUCUCUUACAGCAAACUGCCCUUUUGCGCUGGGCCAAACCAUCCAUCUUGUGCAGUCCACCCUCCCCACCUGGGACC